GGGUGCUUAGCUCAGUUGGUAGAGCGGCGCCCUUACAAGGCGUAGGUCGGGGGUUCGAGCCCCUCAGCACCCA
rfam:Cupriavidus sp. SK-3 Scaffold240, whole genome shotgun sequence.